CUAUUUCAAAGCAGUCACGAUUUUCGAUAUAUAAAAGAGAUAGUACCUACAAUAACAGUUCUUUAACAAUGUCAUUUGCAACCCACCGAGUCACGGACUUGGUCUUUACCAUACCGAGGAUGCAGCUGUCAAACUGCCCGUGCUAUGGGGUGCAAAGAAUAUGCGCCUGAACUCUUACGACCUGUAGCAGUACUUUAUUAUGUCGUACAGGAUGAGAGGACGGCCUACAUAGCUUUCCUUUUCAGUUAUCCUGAAUCAAUUGAAAAUCAACUUUUAGUUAUAGUUAAAAUGAGUAGGUUGAAUUUUUUUAUAGAAAAGAGUAGUUAAUAAAAGAAAAUGACGAUAAUGGAUCCAGAUGGUACAAUUUUUUAUUAUUCUUUUGUUUACGGAUGACAGUAAAAGGAAUGUAAUUUUGGUUGUUUUA